rnacentral:rRNA from 1 species
UCGGGAAUUUUGGGCAAUGGGCGCAAGCCUGACCCAGCGACGCCGCGUGGAGGACGAAGCCCUUCGGGGUGUAAACUCCUUUAAGCAGGGACGAACGCAGACGGUACCUGCAGAAUAAGCCCCGGCUAACUACGUGCCAGCAGCCGCGGUAAUACGUAGGGGGCGAGCGUUGCCCGAAUUUACUGGGCGUAAAGCGCACGUAGGCGGCUCCGUAAGUCUGGUGUGAAAUCUCACGGCUCAACCGAGAGG